GUGGCGGUGUUCUCUGUCAGAGAAACAGCAAAAGUACUAUCGCACAACGAAACAUUGCACAACUGAAGCAUCGCCUGUGCCUCAUGCUGCUGUUUCAUCAAAGAUCAAGGUCAUCGCCCUUGGAGGGACUUUAUGCAUGGCAGCAUGGUUCGAGUUCCACACGGAGAAUCCUGAAGCUAAUUCUUCCAAGGUAGAGCGGGGCAUGCUGAAAGUUAUCAGAAGGCCGAAAGAAUAAAUCGGUGGUUCAUCUGCAUGUACAACCAUCGUCAAGUGUUAUCAUGUACUGUUUUUUGCAGCUGCAUAAUAUUAAACAGUCCGAGUCUGCCCCAGCAGCCCAUAUG